rnacentral:rRNA from 1 species
UACGUAGGGGGCUAGCGUUGUCCGGAAUCAUUGGGCGUAAAGAGCGCGUAGGCGGCCCGGUAAGUCUGCUGUAAAAGUCAAAGGCUUAACCUUUGAAAGUCAGUGGAUACUGCCGGGCUAGAGUCCGGAAGAGGCGAGUGGAACUCCUGGUGUAGCGGUGGAAUGCGCAGAUAUCAGGAGGAACACCGGUGGCGAAGGCGGGUCUCUGGGCAGUAACUGACGCUGAGGAGCGAAAGCGUGGGGAGCGAACAGG